GUGCAAAUUUGAUCACUAACUCUGCAUGAUGUUGCAGAAGUGAAGGGAACCACGUCAGCUAAAGUAAUUUUAGUGAUAGAAAUGCAUUCGUCUCAGAAGCUACUGAGGAGAAGUUACUAUCCUAACACAGUG